CCCGCUGAACUUAAGCAUAUCAAUAAGCGGAGGAAAAGAAACUAACAAGGAUUCCCCUAGUAACUGCGAGUGAAGCGGGAAAAGCUCAAAUUUCAAAUCUGGCGGUCCCGCCGCCCGAGUUGUAUUCUGGAGAAGCGUCUUCUGCGCCGGACCGUGUACAAGUGCCUUGGAACAGGACGUCAUAGAGGGUGAGAAUCCCGUAUGUGACUGGGUGCUUUCGCCUAUGUGAAGCUCUUUCGACGAGUCGAGUUGUUUGGGAAUGCAGCUCAAAAUGGGUGGUAAAUUUCAUCUAAAGCUAAAUAUUGGCCAGAGACCGAUAGCGCACAAGUAGAGUGAUCGAAAGAUGAAAAGCACUUUGGAAAGAGAGUUAAACAGUACGUGAAAUUGUUGAAAGGGAAGCGCUUGCAACCAGACUUGCACUUGGUCGAUCAUCCGGGGUUCUCCCCGGUGCACUCGAUCUCGUUCAGGCCAGCAUCGGUUCAGGUGGUGGGAUAAAGGCCUUGGGAAUGUAGCUUCUUUCGGGGAGUGUUAUAGCCCUCGGUGCAAUGCCGCCUACCUGGACCGAGGACCGCGCUUCGGCUAGGAUGCUGGCGUAAUGGUUGUAAGCGACCCGUCUUGAAACACGG
rnacentral:rRNA from 1 species